rnacentral:rRNA from 1 species
CCUACGGGAGGCUGCAGUAGGGAAUCUUCCACAAUGGGCGCAAGCCUGAUGGAGCAACGCCGCGUGGGUGAAGAAGGUCUUCGGAUCGUAAAACCCUGUUGUUAGAGAAGAAAGUGCGUGAGAGUAACUGUUCACGUUUCGACGGUAUCUAACCAGAAAGCCCCGGCUAACUACGUGCCAGCAGCCGCGGUAAUACGUAGGUGGCAAGCGUUAUCCGGAUUUAUUGGGCGUAAAGGGAACGCAGGCGGUCUUUUAAGUCUGAUGUGAAAGCCUUCGGCUUAACCGGAGUAGUGCAUUGGAAACUGGGAGACUGGAGUGCAGAAGGGGAGAGUGGAACUCCAGGUGUAGCGGUGAAAUGCGUAGAUAUAUGGAAGAACACCAGUGGCGAAGGCGGCUCUCUGGUCUGUAACUGACGCUGAGGUUCGAAAGCGUGGGUAGCAAACAGGAUUAGAUACCCGGGUAGUC